rnacentral:snoRNA from 1 species
GAGGAUAUGAUGACCCUUUCCCCAGAUGAUCGACAGUGAACAUAUUGAGCGCAACAAGUUCUCUAUUAGAGAACCAAGCCAGAAUUCUGAUCCUC